UAGUGGCUCCCCGCCCCCCAAUUUCAUGUCCUUCCCAGAACCUCAGAAGGUGACCUUAUUUGCAAACAGUGUCAAGGCAGAUGUAAUUAGUCAAAUUCAGAUGAGGUCAUUCUGGAACAGGGUGAGCCCUAAUCCAAUAUGACUGGCAUCCUCACAAGAGAAGAGAGGCAGAGACAGACACACACACAGAGACAGGAAAAGGCCGCCGUGAGAAGACAGGCCAGGGGCUGGAAUUCCUCGCCUGCAGACAAGGAACAGCCAAGGCUGCUAGCAACCACUGGGAAUCAGGAGGAGGGUGGGAAACUGGCCGUCCCUUGGUACCCCAGACGGGACAAAUGCUGCAGGCUUCCUACGGAGCUUAAGUGACCCUGUCUGUGAUCAUUUGUUAAGAUGGCCUUCAGAAGCUAAUACAGAUCCCUGGUCCUCAAAGUAAGAUUCUGCAAGCCUUGGCUUGGCCAAAAAAAAAAAAAAAAAAAAGACAAUGAAACAAGAUCCACACAUUAGACCCCUGUGUGCUGCGUCUCAUCCUCCUGACCCGUCUGCUUCCUUCUCCUGGUCCUACAACCAGGCCUGCGAGGCCCUGAUACCCUCAUACCGUCCUUAAAUGGCCUCACUGACAUUUCAGAAACAUAUUAAUAAAAAUUAAAGUAGUAACACUACUGUGGUAGGAAUAUUUAAGUAUUUCAAAGUGGUAACCACGGUUUCUUAUUAUCUUUUCUGAAAAAAAUCCAUAUAUACUCCUAUUUACUUACAUAAAUUGGCUCAUGCUAUACUUUUUUUCUUUUUUUCCAUUUAAAAUAUGUCCUGGAGGGACUCCCCCUGGUGCUCUACUGGCUAAGACUCCAUGCUCCCAAGGCAGAGGGCCUGGAUUUGAUUCCUGAUUGGGGAACUAGAUCCCACAUGCCACAGCUCAAGCUCCUGCAAGUGGCAGCUAAGACAGGGGAAACCAAAAACAAAAUGUAUAUACAAAAUCUUGGAGAACUUUCCAUGUCAGCACCCCCAGAGCUACCUGUUUUUUAAUUCCAGCAAAGUGUUCCAAUGUAGGCAACACGAUAUUUUAUUUUAUUUCACUUAGUCCCCUGAUUGAAGCACAUUUCAGCAGUUUCCAGUAUUUUGCCAUUUUACACAGUACUGCAGAGAUCAUCCUUGUAAAUAGAUCCUAGUGGACUUUGCAAGUAUUUAACAGCGUAAACUCCAGGCAGUAGAAUUUGUGAGCUGAGCCCAAGCAGAAGCUGGAGGGCAAGGGAGCCUGUGUUGUUCCAGUCCAGACGGAUCCUCCUCCUGGGACCCUGCAGGAGGCAAGGCCUGAACCUGGACCUGGAGAGGCAGAUAGAAAACUUUGAGUGGCCUUUAGGAACAAGCUUGGCUGCAAGCGUCAGAAAACCAGACCAGCACGUCUGAAGCAGAGAGGUCUGUUCCUCUCCUGCAGUGACAGGUUCGGGGAGAGCUGCAGGAUCUGGUGCGGCCCGUCCAGGGUGUCACCAGGCUCCAAACUGCUCCCACCGCCUCGUCUGCCGUCCUCAGCGCUGGCCUUUGGUCUCAGGAUUUUCAUCUGGCUGCUGGACCUGGUGUUAAAGCUGCAGGUGCAAGCUAGCAUUUCUCUCGUUUCAAGUCAGAUAGACCUUUGCUGAGUCCAUCUUUGUGCAACUGAGUCCAGAAACGCCCAUUCCCCACUCCCCAGGAAUUUGGAAAGAUCCAUAACUCUACAUCCUCUCCAGGACAGAUGCCUCAUUGAAAAACGUGUCUGGAAGUUGCCUUCUGUAACCCACUGCUGCUGCUGCUGCUGCUAAGUCGCUUCAGUCGUGUCUGACUCUGUGCGACCCCAUAGAUGGCAGCCCACCAGGCUCCCCUGUCCCUGGGAUUCUCCAGGCAAGAACGCUGGAGUGGGUUGCCAUUUCCUUCUCCAAUGCAUGAAAGUGAAAAGUCAAAGUAAAGUUGCUCAGUCGUGUCCGACUAUUCAUGACCCCAUGGACUGCAGCCUACCAGGCUCCUCCGUCCAUGGGAUUUUCCAGGCAAGAGUACUGGAGUGGGUUGCCAUUGCCUUCUCCGUCUGUAAUCCUUUACUGACAUUAAAAACAAUCAGCUGUGUUUAGUAGAUGUAGAGUUCCUAAGCUCAGAAUCUUCGUGCAAAGUCGUGGGUGGCAGGCUGGUGGCUCCAGCUCCUGGAGUGCUGGCUUCACUUCCGGGAUGAGUGGCUGUGGUACUGUUGCUUCCCUGGAGAUGCUGAACUUCCUGAGGGCUCGGGUCAUCGGUUCUUUCAAAUAAAACAUAACCACUUCAACUGCACAAACUUCACUCCAAUAUUCUCUGUGCAAGUGGCAUCUAACUGGCUGUUGGCCUCUGUGGCUGACUCAUCUCAGGUGGGAGCGGUGGGCAGUGAAGGAUCCAAGGGCAGUGGGGGAACCAGCUGCCUUGCCCCCUCCCCAGGGCUCCCCAGGAUGUGGCCGUAAUCCAGAUGAGGGCCGGAAGUCACCCUGGGAGCGAAGGUCAGGCUUUCUUCCGCACUGCGGCUGAUUGGGGAAAACAGGGAGGUGCCCGCAGUGCAUUCCCGUGAGUCCCUUCUGAAUGACUGGCUCAGUCUUUUAUUUCCUGGGUCGAACAUUCGCAGACGACAAGACCAGCCUCGCUGCAAGGGAAUCUAAGGACAGGAGCAUUCCUGCCCUCCCAGCACUACAGGAGGGGAAGACAACGGGGCGGGGCUACAAAUGCCACGAGGGAACCAAUCCACAGGGUCUGCUACAGUUGAAAAGCAACAUCAAUGACUGGGAUUUCCUGUCCCUAAUGGGGCUGCUUUAUGGUAUAGAUGGACCACGAAUACAUUGUCUAGCCAGUGCUAUGUUGACAGCUACCUUGCUGGUGGUCCAGGGUUUUACUGUGAAAAUGAACAUCCUGUUACAAUUCUGGUAACUGUGCCCAGCUGAUCUUCCAUAAUGUUGCAUGAGGCUGUAGUUCUACCAACUGUGGACGAGAGUUCACCACCCUGCCGCCAGUGCCAGGAAUCUUCUGAAGUUCCGACUGCCUGGUGUUUGUGGCAAAAGCUCCUCCCCAUCCUGGCUCCGGCCUUACCUCUGUGGAGCCGGACUUCAGAGCUCCCUGAGAGGCUGCAUCCUGGGCUGUGGGCCUCAGAUUUGUCCACAAAAAACACGUGGUUCUCGACUUUCAGGCUGUGUUUUCACCCAGUCUACACUAGAUAUUGUGCUCGUGUA